UACGAAGGGGGCUAGCGUUGUUCGGAAUCACUGGGCGUAAAGCGCAUGCAGGCGGAUUGUUAAGUCGGGGGUGAAAUCCCGGGGCUCAACCUCGGAACUGCCUCUGAUACAGCAAGUCUUGAGUCCGGAAGAGGUGGGUGGAAUUCCUAGUGUAGAGGUGAAAUUCGUAGAUAUUAGGAAGAACACCAGUGGCGAAGGCGGCUCACUGGUCCGGUACUGACGCUGAGGUGCGAAAGCGUGGGGAGCAAACAGG
rnacentral:rRNA from 1 species